UGGGGAAUAUUGCACAAUGGGGGAAACCCUGAUGCAGCGACGCCGCGUGAACGAAGAAGGUAUUCGUAUCGUAAAGUUCUGUCCUAUGGGAAGAUAAUGACAGUACCAUAGAAGAAAGCUCCGGCUAAAUACGUGCCAGCAGCCGCGGUAAUACGUAUGGAGCGAGCGUUUUCCGGAAUUAUUGGGCGUAAAGGGUACGCAGGCGGUUUAAUAAGUCGAAUGUUAAAGAUCGGGGCUCAACCCCGCAAAGCAUUGGAAACUGAUAAACUUGAGUAGUGGAGAGGAAAGUGGAAUUCCUAGUGUAGUGGUGAAAUACGUAGAUAUUAGGAGGAAUACCAGUAGCGAAGGCGACUUUCUGGACACAAACUGACGCUGAGGUACGAAAGCGUGGGGAGCAAACAGG
rnacentral:rRNA from 1 species